UCGGGCGCAUCCGACCACGGGACCAAGGGUCGGGCGUAUACUCAGAAUUGGACUGUGGGUUGAUAUCACGAAAUGUCAGGGUUUUUUUUUUUGAAAAAUAGCCUCGGACUACUCCAACGUUCCGCUCAGGGGUCGGACACUCCCGACCCCAGGACUCAGGGUCGGGCGAGGUGGAGCUUCACUCGGGGUCGGGCGAGGCAGAGUUCCACCCUAUAUGCAUGCGCAAGAUUUUGUGGACAGUUUAAAAGAAAGGAAAGAUUAAAAAAUCAGCUAGCUCCUUGCAUGCAUGCGCCAGAUUUGUCAAUAUCCUUUUUUACAAAUUUUGUGGGCAUGUUAAAAGAAAGGAAAGAUUAAAAAAUCAGCUAGCUCCUUCCACAUGCGCGAGAUUUUGUGGACAUGUUAAAAGAAAGGAAAGAUUAAAAAAUCAACUCCUUGCAUGCAUGCGCGAGAUUUUGUGGGCAUGUUAAAAGAAAGGAAAGAUUAAAAAAAUCCGCUAGCUACUUGCAUGCAUGCGCCAGAUUUGCUAGGCCUGGUUGGAAAAAGAAUUGUACUCCAUCCUGGUUCCUUCCCUUCCUUUUUCUAUCAGCCGCCAUAACAAACUCGUUGCCGCCAUUGCACACGCACACGCCCGAAGCAAAUCCGUCGCUUGCCCCGUGCCGCCGUUGCCCGACCUGCGCCUUCGCUGACCUCCUUGCUGGGUAAUUGUUGACCAUCGGUACGGACGCAUGCAAUUCUCUUGAAGCUUUCUCAUCACCUACUCCCUGACCUUGUUACUAGACCGACGCCGAUCUGUUAUGAAGCUGAACGCUCGGUCGCGAACUGCACCAGAAGGUUGGAGGGUGUCGUCCGAGCGGCGGCGUUGCAGCUCAAGUGUGAGUUCUCGUUACCCUCUGUUAAUCAUGUUCACGUAGAUUAGAUCAUGAUUAUGCCUAACUAGACAUGAUUAUACCAAGAAGUUGUCGGAUAUGGCAUGUGUUAUAUUAAUUAAUCUGUUAAUCAUGUUCGUUAUAAUUAGAUCAUAUGUAUUCACAGAAAGAACUUGCCCUCCGCACUACUCAACUGUCAGCUCAGCAAAACAAGGCUGCAGCACUUGUGUUCCUGGGAAAAAAAUUAGCAGACGCCAUCAUUAUGUAUUCAAUGAAAUAAUUGUGCCAGGACCUGUAACAGGAGAUGACACAUGAGACUCAAAGUUGAAUAAAAUCUCACCUUUCAGAAGACGACUAGAAGGGGCUGCCAAUAAUUAAGCGAGCGACGGCGUUGCAGCUCACUGAAUCUUGGCAUCCAUCCAUGUCAGACGGUUCCGAGGUAAGCUACACACAAGCUUAACGCUCACUGAAUCAUAUUGCAGAACCGGUACUAAUUUAAUGAGUUUAUAUGUUACCUCCUUUUUCCAUCAAUAGUCAUCCUUGGAGUAGCUAUCCACGGAGCUGACGCCCACUGGUGACGAUGGUGUCUAUAGUAUGGAUAUAUUGCUGGAACUAGAGGAAACUACUCCCAAGACAGAUUACUUGGAUGCCAAUAAAUACCAAGAGGGUUUGACCCCUGACAAACUCAAAGAUGUUGAUAUGUCACAGCAGGUGUUGAUCACUGACGAAACCAACGAGUCAGAAGAUGCUUUCAAGAUUCCGGAAGGUAGUUUAUGUUUCAUUCAUAUAUCAGGUUGCUCAUUUGAUAUAUUUUCACAACAUUUAUCAUGUGCAAUGAUAAUUAUCCUCAAAUUUUAUGAUUAUUUUCAAGGUACGAAUGUACUGUCAAUGAUCAUGCCUUCAUUGAAGCUGCUAAAAAGAUCUCAGCUGAACCAGGUAGGGAAGAGCUUGUGACAUCGUCCUGGUGAAUAGGAAUCACAUGGAGUGCUUAUUUUGUCGAAACGCAUACCUGUAUGACGAGGUAAUAACCCCGAGUACAAAUUUAUGGGAACAAAAAUCUUUUUUUAUAUUGAGAAAUUAUUCAUGGUUGAUUUUUUGCAGGUCAUAAAUGCGUACAUCCACCUAUUGCGGACUCAAGAUAAUAUGAUAAAUAGGCCAGGUGGUACAUGCUACCUAGAAAAUACAAGUAUGACCGUGUUAAUGAAGGGGGAUGGUGAAGAAAAUGGAACAUGGAGGACAUGGAGGAUCACUAUCCCUCCCGUGGGCAUUCACAGGUUCCACGGUUGGCUGAAAGGGUAUUAUCGUACAUGCAACACGAUAUGGUAACUACUAUUUUCAACAUUACGAUAUAUACUUCAUUUAUCCAAUAUACGUUCUUUGACUGACAUUACAUUUUUUAAUACUUGAUAGUUGUUCUUACCAAUAAAAAUAAAAGAUACACACUGGUAUCUUGCUGUAGUGAAUGCGCGAAGGCGUAAGAUACAUGUGUUAGAUUCUUAUGGAACACUAUUUGGGCGCAGGGACCUCGAAAAUACUGUGAGUUUUUGCCAUCUCAGCUAUUUCUAUUUUUUUUUGCAAACUGCACAUACUAAUUAACCAGGACAUGUACAAACAGUUGAAGGGAUUGCCGAUGCAGAUGGAAUACACAUUGCAAUGCACUGGCCUUAAAGAUCACGCUUGGCCGGACGUCAAUGUUGACAUCUGGGAUGUUGUGGAGGUCAUGGUUGACAGAAUACAGUUUGAUGGGUAUGUAUGAUAUUGCACACUAAUUUAAAAUACCAAUUCUACAAUCUCAUAUGUAUAUAUCUUACAUUUUUCUAUAUAAUAAUGAUUCUGUAGUGUCUCAUGUGGGUUAUUCAUGGUUGCCUUUAUAAAGUAUUGGACUGGGGAUCAUCUGUGCGCUACCGUGGAUCAGGUACAUCAUGUAUAACUUUAACACAAGUAAUUAGUGAAUAUUUUUUACUAGCAUAUUUUUUGAAUAAACUGUGUUACUACUAAUGUACAGGAGAGUAUGGUAAAAUUUAGGACUAAAAUGGCAGCUACAUUACUAUCAACUAUAUUUAAUGAACGGUUAGGUAAACCAUUACUACGCAAUGAGGAUGAAAACAUCGGAAGCCCGAGUGACUUUGCAGAAAUAAUAGAACCUAACGAGUUUCAGCAGAUCAAACAAAAGAGGAAAUCCACGAACAGCCAUGAAAAUGCACUUAAACCAAAGAAAAUCGAUACAGAGAUAGACUCAGAUAAGCAAGAUGUUCUUCUAUACUACAAGGACUGGCCCUUGAAGAGAGAUGAGUUAGCUGAGAUUUUUUGUGAUUAUAUUUUGACAAUCAAGGAUCCUGCGGAAUUGGAGUAAGCUCAGUACUUCAUCACUUUCAUUUACCACUAAUAGUAUUGCAAUUUAUUAUGAAUUCUUAUGCAUUGUCCUUAUAUAUUGAUUUGCAGUAUGGUUUGGGUAAGGAGUGAUUUGCCCUAUAGGAGUGUGUAUAAACUCGGUGAUCUCAAGGUGUUGUUGAAACGAGGUUCACCCAUGCCUGAACCAUUUUUCAACUUAGGUGUCCGAUUUCUUGCAUACCGAGAGGCUAAAGGGAUGAUAAGGUACAACAACAAGGUUGCAAACCAUCAUGUGGAUCUGCGAUUCUGUGUAAGUUAGCUUGUUUAUAAUUACAAUCAUAACUGUGGAAUAUACUGCAUUCAUUGUCUAUUUAUAUUUAUUAGUUAUACAUAAAAUUGAUAGGUGAUACUGAUCAUGGCUAUAUAUCAUUUUGCUUCAGAAAAUGUUGGAGUUAACACGUCAUGAAAAAUAUCGUAAACAUCAUAGUGGUAAAGAGUUGGGUGAUGUGAUUGGUGGAUGGGAAAUAGUAAAAUAUGACAUACUAGGUUGCAGAUAUGUAAGUUCUUUUCAUGCCAUUAUUUGUUCAUUACAUAUCCUUUGUGGUCCUAAUACUGAGUGCUUUGCAGUUUCUCUUGCCAUGGAAGCAUGUCAAUACCUACCUGCUUUAUGUACUCGAUAUUAAGCGGAAGAAACUUAUUGUGAUUGACACUAAACCCAUUCCAAAAUAUGCCACGGAUGUGCCAUAUAAACAUUAUGCGAUACAGAUCGUAGGAUUUCGCCUAAAAUUUAUGAACGCAUUUAGACAGCUUAAACCUGAUUCAUGGGAGGAUGUUCACAAAUGGGAAUUUGAACGCGCGAAAGGAAUUGUGGAAGAUACUGAUGGGUAAGAUCAGCUCUAACACACCGGCAUUUUAGAGUGUCAAUAUCCUUUAUUUCUUAAAAGAUAUGUUCGUAUAUUUAUAUAGCUGACGAUUCAUCGUACCACAGAUUUUCAGAUGGAUGGCUUAUUCUACAGUACAUGGCAUGGUGGGAUAGUCCUCGAAACGUGCACAUCGAAAAAGUGAGUAAAUAUGCUUUGUUGUACGUUCCUUUGUAAUUUUACAAUAUACGAUAAAUCCGAGCUUAACUUGAAGUAAGCACUUAUCUUACUUACAGGAUGCUAUAACGAUGCGGCACAACUUCUUCAUCGAUCUUCUAGCGCACGAAGCGAAUGCCUGGAGGAUAAGACUACCAGGCAUUGUAAAACAUUUCCUUUGGCGCAUCACAGGCAAAGAAAUAAGAUAGAUGGGGGACAUUUGGAUGACCUGUAUUCGUAUAUGUUCUACAUCAUUAUUGUCCUGCUGAAUCCAAUCUUGGAUGAUAUACUUAUUU
rnacentral:lncRNA from 1 species